GUUUCCGCCGGUUGUGCGGGGACCGCGGCUCAGUAGUGUGGGUGGACGAGGACAGCGGGUGGAACUGGUCCUUCUGUGACUUUGCAGCCCCGGCUUGGUGAUAAUUUUUGUGCAGGCUUCUUGACAUGGAAAGCAGAGCUCCCCAGCACAGAGUGAGCGCUCCGAAGGGCUCCUGCGCUUACCGGUGCCCUACCCUCCCUUUCCCUGCUUGCUACACUUGGGUCCGGGACUCAGCCUCCCUUUGCAAGCUUCUGCUCGGCCUGUGUGCAGCUGCACUUAGCUGGCAGGGUCAGGCGUUGAGUAGCCGCUCCGCUCCUUCUGCAGCCUCCUGCAGCCCCCGCCAGCUCCCGGGCUCCAUCCCUCGCCAUCAGUUGCUGAUUGGCGCCCCCUGCGUGCACAACGGAGGCUGGCUGCACCUGGAGGUUCCCAGCAGUUCCAGGCCGGCUCCAGCCUAGCCAAAGCAGCUAACUUCUCUGCUGUCUCGUGGGCUGAACCUCACCGUUUCCCAAGAGGAGCUGCCUGGCAAUGGUAGCAGGUGAAGGUCAUGGUGAAGAAGAUGCAGAUAUUGGCAAUUUGGAGCAUUAGAUGAACUAAUUACAACGUUAACCUAAGGAACAGUGAUAGAAAAGUGAAGACCAAAGAGAUUAAGUAAUUGCUCCAGGCCAUGUGACCUUUCUAUAGCUGUUAACAGUUGAGAUGGAGCAAAAAGCACAUGAGACUUAGCCUUCAGAGACCUGGGCUCUGCCAGUUGGCAGUGUAUGACCUUGACCUUCAAGAUACUUCAUACUCAUUGUCCAUUGAUUUCCUCAUCUGUGAAAUGGGAAUUGCACUAGCUAUGUUGUGAGCAUUGAGGUAAAGUAUACAAUUUAUAUUAUUAUAAAGUACCUGAUACAAUAAAUGUUAGUUCUCUCCACAAAUGAAGAUACUUUAUAAAACUCUAUUAUACAAAAUAAUUAAUACAACCCCUCUGAAUAUUUCUAGGCAAUUAACUUCGUUUUGUGCAAAAUUGCAUUUAAUGUGAAGAUAUUGGUAUUGUAGGAGAAUUCUUCAGGCUUUUGAUUUCCACAUAUGUGUGGAGGGAAGCCUGGAGGUAAAUAUUUCCUCGGAGAUUGGAGUGAGCCAGAACUUUGAAUGAGUUGAUACUAAUUUCAGGCAACGUUUUCUUUUACUUUAUGAAGUCAACACAGAAUAAAUAAACUAAAUAUUUAUUAAGUACUGGGUUCUGUUCUAGGUGCUUUGGGAAAAGAGAUGGUACCUGGGGAUGCACCUGACUGUUCAGUUCCUGGAGGAGCUUCUCAUCAUCUAGUGCUGUGAUUGGAAGGGGUGGGCCUUCCGCUGGAGACACAGGAAGGAGAUUGUCUCAGCAAAUCUGCUGUGUGUGUGUGCAUGUGAGAGAAAGACACACAUACACACACACACACA